rnacentral:misc_RNA from 1 species
GAAAUGCGAUAAGUAGUGUGAAUUGCAGAAUUCAGUGAAUCAUCGAAUCUUUGAACGCACAUUGCGCCCUAUGGUAUUCCGUAGGGCAUGCCUGUUCGAGCGUCAUUUACACCUUCAAGCCUUGCUUGGUGUUGGGUGACUGUGGCCCCUUUGGGGCCACUCGCCUUAAAGUCAUUGGCGGCCGGUUCGUUGGCUUUGUAGCGCAGCACAAUUGCAUCCUCGAAGCCGCUGGACCAGCUCCCAGAAGCUAAUUUUAAAUGUUUGACCUCGAAUCAGGUAGGGAUACCCGCUGAACUUAAGC